GCGGCAUUGGGCAUGGAGCAUCCGAGGGUCCAAGCUUUCCCCUGAGAGGCCUCACACUUGAACUUAGAGGAAGAGUGAGUGGCCCUGGAGCUGGGCCUUCCAGUAGGAGCAGGGUUUCUGCAGGGAAGCAGAGAGAGGAGCCCGGGAGAAGGCACACGGGUUCUUCUCAGCCACCGUCAACAACCCCAGCUGCUACCAAGGUGCAAGAACACACAGGCUGCUGUGAAAGGACUGUAGGGGGCAAGGGCAGAGGAAGGGGCCAGCCAGGAGGCUUCCAAAAUAAUCCAGAUGAGGAAACUGCCGCUCAGAGACGGCAGCCGACCCAGCCAAGGCCGCACAGCCAGGAUUCAAAGCCAUACCGCUCAGCUCCUGCCUCCAGGCUCUGCCUUUGCAUGUGGCUUCUCCUGGCUCCUGGACCCUUCCCCGGCCCUCCCAGCUGGCUGUGCUGUGACAGUGGGCGGGGGAGUGCCAAGGCUCUGCCCUGCCCCCCGCCCUUGGCAUCUCCGGUCAAUAUGGCACUCACAGCUCCCUGGGCAUGGACCCCCUCCUGCCAUCCCCACUUAAAGUGAUACUUUAAUAAAUUAUGCUUUUAUGUUAUUACACGUGGAGCUAUAAAAGCAGAGAGUGUGCGGCCGGGCUGAGGUAAGGCGCCCGCGACUUUCCAAUUUCCUGGUCUGGCCUGGCUCUGCUCCGCACCGUGAAUUUUUCAUUAAUGUGCACAGGUGACGCCACGGGGCAGCCGCAGGCCAGUCAUAGUUACAGAGGCAAUGGACACAUUGAAGAGAGGAAAGAAAACAAACACGACCUAGAAUCUACGGGGAAGGAAGCCUUCUAGACUCCAGACCUUCCGUGUCCAGAAGUGUCAGUCUUCACAUCUGUGAGGUGGGGCCAAGGAGUCCUGCCCUGCCAUGCUGGGUGUUGACUUCGGGGAAGGGGCCUUGGGAUGUCUAUGAGGAUGCAGCUGCUGCCUUCUGUCUUGGCAGAGACCAUGGCCACCCCAGGACACCGUGUUUGGUCCCCGCUGUGCUAAGUCUCCUCCAGGCACCAGCCAGGCAUCAGUGGAGCACAGCGGAAAUGGGUCCAAAGCCACCCACAGAGGCUCUGUGUGGUUCUUGGAUAAUUCUGGAAGGCUCUAGAGAAGGCAACAAGAAGGCAGGAACCCAGGGCCAGAAACUGGACAACUUGUGUGUGUUUGUCUGUAAAGUGGGGCUAGGAAUCCGCGUGGGGGUCAAAUGAGAACAGCUCUGCCUCCCAGCGCACAGUCCCGCGUCGAGGUCAGAGAGCCUCUUAGGCCCUGGCUCUUUUGGGAAAUCAUCCCAGGGGCUAAAGACAAAACUGAAGUUGAAAUAAACAUGGGGGUCCAAACACUCCAGAAUUCUGAGUGAGGGAAUCUCCUCCCAGGCUUCCACGCCAGGCCCGAAUGCAAACAAGAGGCAGCAGGGGUGGCUUGGGCCCCUCACACAGAAUUAGUGAGAUUAGCUGAGAACCAGAGCCCAGCAGAUGUCCCCUCUCUGGACUCGGUGACUCACUUGCCUCCCUGGUUGAGAAUCGUAUCCGGCUGGGCCUGAGCUGUCCUGGCUGGCGGGGAGCUGGACGCAGGGCAGAGGUCGGGGUAAACACCCGUGCUCCAGGCGGGAGGUCGGGAUGGGGGUGGUGACAAGGAGGACAACAUUUCCACUCAGCAGAAAGAAGAGCCUGAGCUGCCCUAGAGCCGGAGGCGCUGCCUGGAGAGGUCGUGAGGACCCGGUCCCAGAGGUGUGCAAGCUGGGUACCCUUUGAAGACUAUAGGAGGAUUCCAGUUGGCGCUGGGAGUACUCCAGGCAGGAUGCCAGUUCAGGUCCUUCGUGCAUGAGACUCUCCCAGAGAGGCAGGCAAACAUUUUCUGGGAAGGGCCAGAUAGUAAAUAUUUCAGGUUUUGCGGGUCAUCCUGCUAUCUCUGUUGCAACUGCUCAACUCUGCCACUGUAGCUUGGAAGCAGCUACAGACAAUACAUAAAUGAAUGGAUGUGGG
rnacentral:lncRNA from 1 species